CUUUAAUAUUCUCAAAAUAUAACGCUGCAGUUCGUGGAAUUAAUUUUGCAUCGUUCGCGGUUAAGGCAGCUUUAGAAUUCAGUUCGCAGUUUUCUACCAAUGUUGGGUCUACAAUGAAAUUAAACGAUCUGCAUUUGGGUUCAUCGUGUAACGCACAAUGGUGUGCACAAGUUAUAUGGCUUUCCGCACUGACAACUCCAAUGACACUUUCUUGAAGUUGAUAACCU
rnacentral:lncRNA from 1 species